UUUGUAUCUGGGUGUAAGGACCACCCUAUUGAUUAUGCCCUCAGCAGGCUGUAAGCAGUGCAGGCUGUAAAGGCUUAACCAACCCCACAGUUGGCUCAUUUUAAGAAGCAAGUCUGACUGAAGCUAUGUGACUCAGAGAGGCACCUCAAAAGCACCACAGGAGCUUGCAGGUCAGCAUGACGUUUCCGCUAAUGUCCACAGCAGAGACAGAGACAUGGCCAUGAGUCUGCGGGGCUCAUCAUGAGACAACACUGUAGCCAAGUGAUAAUGAAGUGCUCCACAAUUCCUCCUACUUAGCGUACAAGCAACACCCUAGCCUCUCCCCAGCCCAAGAAGUGAUGGAAUGUGAAGAUGCCACCGGAGGCCAGAGGCUGAGUUCCUUCCUACAAGAAAGAUGAACCGCCAAGAUGAUUGCAAAUGUUAGAGCAAGUGUGCACAUCUGCGGUGUGUCCCCGUGCCACCUGCCCUGCUCUUCCUUAGGAAAAGGACCCUUACCCACCUGUACAAGAUGAGCAGACGCAACCGCGGGCACGGCAUUAGCGUGAAAAAUGGAUGCAUUGCAACCGAGGCCUUGGCAAGCGGUGUUAACAAAAAAUCAGACGUCUCGGCACAGACGGUUUUUAAGCACCUGUAUACUGUAUGCACGGAAAUUAUGACCAAGGAUUGGAAUAUGCAUGCUCAAUAAACUACGGAAAAUCACAAACAAGUUAAACAGCUGUUACUCUUGAACUCUCUGCUCCAAUGGUUGAAGCCAAAACUCAAAGUCAUACCUGGCUGCUCUGCCAGAAGCACCCCAAACCGAAAUGGUACCCUCUCCACACUGCACUCCUAGCCUGUUUUAAAACAGCGCCUACCAGCGGGUUUCUCACACGCCAGUAUUUUACCCCUCUACAUCUGCACCACUCAGCAGCCUGCGAGAUCCUUAAAAAGAGAAAAACGUAUGACUAUAAAAAUCAGAUCACAUCAGCCUUGGCUCAGAACCCUCCAGUGACUUGCUUGCUUGGCAAAAUAGUAAAAGCUUCACUGUGACCUGCAAGUCCCUGUGCUGCCGCCUCUCUCCUUCCUUCCCCACAAGCAUGGCAGGCACCGCUGCCCCAGAGCGUUAGCACAUGCCGCCAUAGCUGUGUGAUGUGCUCCUUCUCUA